rnacentral:rRNA from 1 species
AACGAACGCUGGCGGCAUGCCUAACACAUGCAAGUCGAACGAGAUCUUCGGGUCUAGUGGCGCACGGGUGCGUAACGCGUGGGAAUCUGCCCUUUGGUUCGGAAUAACAGUUGGAAACGACUGCUAAUACCGGAUGAUGACGAAAGUCCAAAGAUUUAUCGCCAGAGGAUGAGCCCGCGUAGGAUUAGCUAGUUGGUGUGGUAAAGGCGCACCAAGGCGACGAUCCUUAGCUGGUCUGAGAGGAUGAUCAGCCACACUGGGACUGAGACACGGCCCAGACUCCUACGGGAGGCAGCAGUGGGGAAUUUUGGACAAUGGGCGAAAGCCUGAUCCAGCAAUGCCGCGUGAGUGAUGAAGGCCUUAGGGUUGUAAAGCUCUUUUACCCGGGAUGAUAAUGACAGUACCGGGGGAAUAAGCUCCGGCUAGCUCCGUGCCAGCCGCCGCCGUAA